UACGUAGGGACCAAGCGUUGUUCGGAUUUACUGGGCGUAAAGAGCGCGCAGGCGGUCGUUCAAGUCGAGUGUGAAAGCCCCCGGCUCAACUGGGGAGGGUCAUUCGAUACUGAUCGACUCGAAGGCAGGAGAGGGUAGUGGAAUUCCCGGUGUAGUGGUGAAAUGCGUAGAUAUCGGGAGGAACACCAAUGGCGAAGGCAGCUCGCUGGGACGGUACUGACGCUGAGACGCGAAAGCGUGGGGAGCAAACAGG
rnacentral:rRNA from 1 species